rnacentral:rRNA from 1 species
CGUGAUAAGCUGCCUGAAAGACUGGGAUAACUCCGGGAAACCGGAGCUAAUACCGGAUAGUUCCUUGAACCGCAUGUUCAAGGAUGAAAGACGGUUUCGGCUGUCACUUACAGAUGGACCCGCGCCGCAUUAGCUAGUUGGUGGGGUAAUGGCUCACCAAGGCGACGAUGCGUAGCCGACCUGAGAGGGUGAUCGGCCACACUGGGACUGAGACACGGCCCACACUCAUACGGGAGGCAGCAGUAGGGAAUCUUCCGCAAUGGACGAAAGUCUGACGGAGCAACGCCGCGUGAGUGAUGAAGGUUUUCGGAUCGUAAAGCUCUGUUGUUUUUGGUUUAACAAGUGCGAGAGUAACUGCUCGCACCUUGACGGUACCUACCCAGAAAGCCACGGCUAACUACGUGCCAGCAGCCGCGGUAAUACGUAGGUGGCAAGC